UAUCUCUCCGUACAGGGAAGGAUGAGAAGCUUCGAAUAAGGUUCGAUUCGAGCGAAAGCGAGAAAGCGUUGCCGCAGGCAACGACCCGAAGGGCGAAGCGCGCAGCGCUGAGUAAUCCUUCCCCCGUCAUCC
rnacentral:sRNA from 2 species